GAGCCGGCAUGGAACCAGCGCCAUCUGAUCUGAAACCUGUGUCAGGGCGACCACAAACUCAUCAUCCAUAAUAGCCCUUCCUAUGAGUGCUGGAAUCUGGAUUCCAGGGGACGCCAGGACAACAGGCAGAAACCAGGACUGCUCCAGGCACCCCAAGACAUAGGGUCACGGUAGAGAUCAGACAUAUCCACAAGGUGCAGCAAGGAACUGGGGUCAUUCUGGGUGGCCCUGUGGACUGGAAGAGUUGUGCCCCGUGGCUGCUUUAUCCUGGAGAAGGAAAGGACAGCUGUUUCCUCCGGAGCAGAUGGGGUUCAGCCACCAAUUCACCCAGCGAACUUUUCUCCACGGUGAGUCUCCCCAAGUCCUACCCCAAAGUGGCACCGUGUGGACUGACACUGGAUUGGGUAAACCUGGUCUACUGCACGCCGUCAGCAGAUAUUAGCUGUCACUGUUAUAUUCUUGAUGGAGUCUCCCUCGAGAGGGCUGAGUUCAAGGACUCUGAACAGGACAGAACCAUGGAAGGCAAUGGGGGCUGUCCAUGCCAUCCUGCCAGCUCUCCUCCUGCAGGAAGCCCUCCCUGACCACCCCUGUCCCCGGGGCUACUUUAAGACUCCAGAGGUUUCACCAUUUGGCUUUUGGUGGGCUGGCUUCGUGGUCUGGGGUUGCCAGGCUCAAAGUUUUUGUUCGGCUGCUGAACACCAAGGCCUACAAGCCCUCUCCUUUUCCAUCCCUCUCAGCUUCUGUACGGGGGCCUCCAGCCCCAUCCAGAAAUGCCCUGGCCUAAAAAAGCACCCUGCCUGUUCUUCCAUGAUGAAAUCAAAGGUCACAGACAUUCAGGCACACGCCCUAAGUCACCCAGCACGGAGGCUCCAUGAAGAAGACCGAGGCAGAAGGCGCCGGCAUUUGUAGAACAUACUUCAUCUCAUCUGAUCCUCCCAGGAGCCCACAAGGACCCCCAGCUCAGGAACUCCA
rnacentral:lncRNA from 10 species